UACGUAGGGGGCAAGCGUUGUCCGGAUUUAUUGGGCGUAAAGAGCGUGUAGGCGGCCAGACAGGUCCGUUGUGAAAACUCGAGGCUCAACCUCGAGAUGUCGAUGGAAACCGUCUGGCUAGAGUCCGGAAGAGGAGUGUGGAAUUCCUGGUGUAGCGGUGAAAUGCGCAGAUAUCAGGAAGAACACCUAUGGCGAAGGCAGCUCUCUGGGACGGUACUGACGCUGAGACGCGAAAGCGUGGGGAGCGAACGGG
rnacentral:rRNA from 1 species